rnacentral:rRNA from 1 species
CAGCACCUCAAGUGGUCAGGAUGAUUAUUGGGCCUAAAGCAUCCGUAGCCGGCGCUGUAAGUUUUCGGUUAAAUCUGUACGCUCAACGUACAGGCUGCCGGGAAUACUGCAGCGCUAGGGAGUGGGAGAGGUAGACGGUACUCGGUAGGAGGGGGUAAAAUCCUUUGAUCUAUUGAUGACCACCUGUGGCGAAGGCGGUCUACCAGAACACGUCCGACGGUGAGGGAUGAAAGCUGGGGGAGCAAACCGGAUUAGAUACCCGUGUAGUCC